rnacentral:rRNA from 1 species
CAGCACCCCGAGUGGUCGGGACGAUUAUUGGGCCUAAAGCAUCCGUAGCCGGUUCUACAAGUCUUCCGUUAAAUCCACCUGCUUAACAGUUGGGCUGCGGAGGAUACUAUAGAGCUAGGAGGCGGGAGAGGCAAGCGGUACUUAGUGGGUAGGGGUAAAAUCCGUUGAUCCACUGAAGACCACCAGUGGCGAAGGCGGCUUGCCAGAACGCGCUCGACGGUGAGGGAUGAAAGCUGGGGGAGCAAACCGGAUUAGAUACCCGGGUAGUCCCAGCUGUAAACGAUGCAGACUCGGUGAUGAAUAAGCUUCAUGCUUAUUCAGUGCCGCAGGGAAGCCGUUAAGUCUGCCGCCUGGGGAGUACGGUCGCAAGACUGAA